rnacentral:rRNA from 1 species
CCUACGGGAGGCUGCAGUGGGGAAUAUUGGACAAUGGGCGAAAGCCUGAUCCAGCCAUGCCGCGUGUGUGAAGAAGGCCUUCGGGUUGUAAAGCACUUUCAGUGGGGAAGAAAGCCUUGGGGCUAAUACCCUCGAGGAAGGACAUCACCCACAGAAGAAGCACCGGCUAACUCCGUGCCAGCAGCCGCGGUAAUACGGAGGGUGCUAGCGUUAAUCGGAAUUACUGGGCGUAAAGCGCGCGUAGGCGGUCUGAUAAGCCGGUUGUGAAAGCCCCGGGCUCAACCUGGGAACGGCAUCCGGAACUGUCAGGCUAGAGUGCAGGAGAGGAAGGUAGAAUUCCCGGUGUAGCGGUGAAAUGCGUAGAGAUCGGGAGGAAUACCAGUGGCGAAGGCGGCCUUCUGGACUGACACUGACGCUGAGGUGCGAAAGCGUGGGUAGCAAACAGGAUUAGAUACCCUUGUAGUC